GUGGAUGUGAAGGUUAAGGGAGUGUCCAGUGUGAAGGAGGGGGACUCUGUAGAGCUGAGAUGCUCCAGUGACAGUAACCCUACUGCCCACUGCUACCGUUGGCACAACAGCAGAGGACCUCUGCCCACCACUGGACCCACAUUCACACUGGAGAAUGUGACCAGACUCACUGAAGCCCUCUACUGCACUGCCAUCAACACAGAGGGACAAGGCCAAUCCAGCCCACUGAAGCUCAACGUAGACUAUCCCCCUGAGAUCAAAGUCGGCUCUGCCUGCACUUCAGACAUCUCCAUGGUAACCUGUCUGUGCAUUGUGAAUUUGGGUCCCCCGGCACCGUGGAGUGGUCUCUUCCAGCCGAACCCCUGCCCACCCUGCCCAGUACCAGACGUGAAAGGCAUGGAUCAGUUACCAUGGUGACCCUACAGAGGGCACUAGGCUUCUCAGAGACCAUCCACUGCCAUGCCAGCAACACCCAGGGCAAUGCCACCUUGUCAUUCACUGUGUCCACAAAUGUGGGAGGAGUCAUAGUGACCAGCCAGUAGCCAGUAUACAGGACAUGGAUGCAGCCAAGUGUGCUUCCUCAGAUCCCUCAACAUCAAGGAAAGAGCAGAAAGACACCAGCAGUGAAAUCCUCACAAACUACUACACCAACAAUCACCUAUAUGGCAACAUGGAGGCUGAAGAGGAUGGCGACCCAUUCGAGUGUGAUGGUGAAGAUGAUUCAGUCUAUGAGGACCUGAGCCCUAGGACCAUGCCUCAGGACUACCUGGCAUGAUGACUCCUU